rnacentral:pre_miRNA from 1 species
CUCAACUCUACUCGAAUGAGGUAGACCCGUGGUAUUGCAUCACCAUGACGUCAUCAGUUUGAGGAAUUUUUU